rnacentral:rRNA from 1 species
UACAGGAGGGUGCGAGCGUUGUCCGGAAUCACGUGGGCGUAAAGGGCGCGUAGGUGGUGGCUUAAGCGUGCCGGGUGGAAAGCUCGGGGCUCAACCCCGAGUCGGCCGUGCGAACGUGGGCUCACUGGAGCAUAGUAGAGGCAGGUGGAAUUCCGGGUGUAGCGGUGGAAUGCGUAGAGAUCCGGAAGAACACCGGUGGCGAAGGCGGCCUGCUGGGCUAUGGCUGACACUGAGGCGCGGACAGCGUGGGGAGCAAACAGG